GCGGGUAUGACGGAAUUGGUAGACGUACUGGAUUUAGGUUCCAGCGGAGGCGACUCUGUGCAGGUUCGAGCCCUGUUACCCGCACCA
rnacentral:tRNA from 1 species